rnacentral:rRNA from 1 species
UCUUUCUUUGCUGGCGACCGGCGCACGGGUGAGUAACACGUAUCCAACCUGCCUUUACUCGGGGAUAGCCUUUCGAAAGAAAGAUUAAUACCCGAUAGCAUAAUGAUUCCGCAUGGUUUCAUUAUUAAAGGAUUCCGGUAAAGGAUGGGGAUGCGUUCCAUUAGGUUGUUGGUGGGGUAACGGCCCACCAAGCCUUCGAUGGAUAGGGGUUCUGAGAGGAAGGUCCCCCACAUUGGAACUGAGACACGGUCCAA